AUUGAACGCUGGCGGCAGGCCUAACACAUGCAAGUCGAACGGUAACAGGAAGCAGCUUGCUGCUUCGCUGACGAGUGGCGGACGUGUGAGUAAUGUCUGGGAAACUUCCUGAUGGAGGGGGAUAACUACUGGAAACGGUAGCUAAUACCGCAUAACGUCGCAAGACCAAAGAGGGGGACCUUAGGGCCUCUUGCCAUCGGAUGUGCCCAGAUGGGAUUAGCUAGUAGGUGGGGUAACGGCUCACCUAGGCGACGAUCCCUAGCUGGUCUGAGAGGAUGACCAGCCACACUGGAACUGAGACACGGUCCAGACUCCUACGGGAGGCAGCAGUGGGGAAUAUUGCACAAUGGGCGCAAGCCUGAUGCAGCCAUGCCGCGUGUAUGAAGAAGGCCUUCGGGUUGUAAAGUACUUUCAGCGGGGAGGAAGGGAGUAAAGUUAAUACCUUUGCUCAUUGACGUUACCCGCAGAAGAAGCACCGGCUAACUCCGUG
rnacentral:rRNA from 1 species